rnacentral:misc_RNA from 1 species
GACGGAGGACCCAAGCGUUACCCGGAAUUACUGGGCGUAAAGAGUUGCGUAGGCGGUUUGAUAAGUGGAAUGCGAAAUCUGGUGGCUCAACCAUCAAAUGGUAUUCCAAACUGUCAGACUAGAGGAUGGGAGAGGUGCAUGGAAUUGCUGGUGUAGGAGUGAAAUCCGUAGAUAUCAGCAGGAACACCAAUGGCGUAGGCAGUGCACUGGACCAUUCCUGACGCUGAGGCACGAAAGCGUGGGGAGCGAACCGG